rnacentral:tRNA from 1 species
GGUGAGGUGUCCGAGUGGCUGAAGGAGCACGCCUGGAAAGCGUGUAUAGGCUAACCCCUAUCGAGGGUUCGAAUCCCUCUCUCACCGCCA